rnacentral:rRNA from 1 species
GAUGAACGCUGGCGGCGUGCCUAAUACAUGCAAGUCGAGCGAACAGACGAGGAGCUUGCUCCUCUGACGUUAGCGGCGGACGGGUGAGUAACACGUGGAUAACCUACCUAUAAGACUGGGAUAACUUCGGGAAACCGGAGCUAAUACCGGAUAAUAUAUUGAACCGCAUGGUUCAAUAGUGAAAGACGGUUUUGCUGUCACUUAUAGCUGGAUCCGCGCCGCAUUAGCUAGUUGGUAAGGUAACGGCUUACCAAGGCGACGAUGCGUAGCCGACCUGAGAGGGUGAUCGGCCACACUGGAACUGAGACACGGUCCAGACUCCUACGGGAGGCAGCAGUGGGGAAUCUUCCGCAAUGGGCGAAAGCCUGACGGAGCAACGCCGCGUGAGUGAUGAAGGUCUUCGGAUCGUAAAACUCUGUUGUUAGGGAAGAACAAAUGUGGAAGUAACUAUGCACGUCUUGACGGUACCUAAUCAGAAAGCCACGGCUAACUACGUG